CACUCCUACGGGAGGCAGCAGUGGGGAAUUUUGGACAAUGGGCGAAAGCCUGAUCCAGCAAUGCCGCGUGAGUGAAGAAGGCCUUCGGGUUGUAAAGCUCUUUUGUCAGGGAAGAAACGGUGAAAGCUAAUAUCUUUUGCUAAUGACGGUACCUGAAGAAUAAGCACCGGCUAACUACGUGCCAGCAGCCGCGGUAAUACGUAGGGUGCAAGCGUUAAUCGGAAUUACUGGGCGUAAAGCGUGCGCAGGCGGUUUUGUAAGUCUGAUGUGAAAUCCCCGGGCUCAACCUGGGAAUUGCAUUGGAGACUGCAAGGCUAGAAUCUGGCAGAGGGGGGUAGAAUUCCACGUGUAGCAGUGAAAUGCGUAGAUAUGUGGAGGAACACCGAUGGCGAAGGCAGCCCCCUGGGUCAAGAUUGACGCUCAUGCACGAAAGCGUGGGGAGCAAACAGGAUUAGAAACCCGGGUAGUCCCAUGAU
rnacentral:rRNA from 1 species